rnacentral:tRNA from 1 species
GGCUCGGGAGCUUAGUGUAAAGCACUUGUCUAGCGAAUAAGGGUCGUGAGUUCAAAUCUCACCUGAGCUG